GCGGUUCUGAGGACUGGGUUUGGGUGCAGACGUUGUUGCUUGGGCGCUUCUCCGCUGCGUGUAGGUGAAGGGGGCUUCCUGACCGAGACAUGGAUUUAGGUGCUAUUACAAAAUACUCAGCAUUACACGCCAAGCCCAAUGGACUGAUCCUUCAAUACGGGACUGCUGGAUUUCGAACGAAGGCAGAACAUCUUGAUCAUGUCAUGUUUCGCAUGGGAUUAUUAGCUGUCCUGAGGUCAAAACAGACAAAAUCCACUAUAGGAGUCAUGGUAACAGCGUCCCACAAUCCUGAGGAAGACAAUGGUGUAAAAUUGGUUGAUCCUUUGGGUGAAAUGUUGGCACCAUCCUGGGAGGAACAUGCCACCUGUUUAGCAAAUGCUGAGGAACAAGAUAUGCAGAGAGUGCUUAUUGACAUCAGCGAGAAAGAAGCUGUGAAUCUGCAACAAGAUGCCUUUGUAGUUAUUGGUAGAGAUACCAGGCCCAGCAGUGAGAAACUUUCACAAUCUGUAAUAGAUGGUGUGACUGUUCUAGGAGGUCAAUUCCAUGAUUAUGGCUUGUUAACAACACCCCAGCUGCACUACAUGGUGUAUUGUCGAAACACGGGUGGCCGAUAUGGAAAGGCAACUAUAGAAGGUUACUACCAGAAACUCUCUAAGGCUUUUGUGGAACUCACCAAACAGGCUUCUUGCAGUGGAGAUGAAUACAGAUCACUUAAGGUUGACUGUGCAAAUGGCAUAGGGGCCCUGAAGCUAAGGGAAAUGGAACACUACUUCUCACAGGGCCUGUCAGUUCAGCUGUUUAAUGAUGGGUCCAAGGGCAAACUCAAUCAUUUAUGUGGAGCUGACUUUGUGAAAAGUCAUCAGAAACCUCCACAGGGAAUGGAAAUUAAGUCCAAUGAAAGAUGCUGUUCUUUUGAUGGAGAUGCAGACAGAAUUGUUUAUUACUACCAUGAUGCAGAUGGCCACUUUCAUCUCAUAGAUGGAGACAAGAUAGCAACGUUAAUUAGCAGUUUCCUUAAAGAGCUCCUGGUGGAGAUUGGAGAAAGUUUGAAUAUUGGUGUUGUACAAACUGCAUAUGCAAAUGGAAGUUCAACACGGUAUCUUGAAGAAGUUAUGAAGGUACCUGUCUAUUGCACUAAGACUGGUGUAAAACAUUUGCACCACAAGGCUCAAGAGUUUGACAUUGGAGUUUAUUUUGAAGCAAAUGGGCAUGGCACUGCACUGUUUAGUACAGCUGUUGAAAUGAAGAUAAAACAAUCAGCAGAACAACUGGAAGAUAAGAAAAGAAAAGCUGCUAAGAUGCUUGAAAACAUUAUUGACUUGUUUAACCAGGCAGCUGGUGAUGCUAUUUCUGACAUGCUGGUGAUUGAAGCAAUCUUGGCUCUGAAGGGCUUGACUGUACAACAGUGGGAUGCUCUCUAUACAGAUCUUCCAAACAGACAACUUAAAGUUCAGGUUGCAGACAGGAGAGUUAUUAGCACUACCGAUGCUGAAAGACAAGCAGUUACACCCCCAGGAUUACAGGAGGCAAUCAAUGACCUGGUGAAGAAGUACAAGCUUUCUCGAGCUUUUGUCCGGCCCUCUGGUACAGAAGAUGUCGUCCGAGUAUAUGCAGAAGCAGACUCACAAGAAAGUGCAGAUCACCUUGCACAUGAAGUGAGCUUGGCAGUAUUUCAGCUGGCUGGAGGAAUUGGAGAAAGGCCCCAACCAGGUUUCUGAAGAUAAUUUUCAUAUUCCUGAGAAACUGGACUUUUUACAAGUCUUUACAAAACUGUCAAUAAUAAUGGCAGUACUAAGAGAUUUAUAAUCAUAAUGUUUACAAUGCAGCCUACUGGAUUGUCUCUAGAUCUGUUUUUCUUAAACACUAACAGAAUAAUUCUUUAUAAAUAGGUAAGCCUUACACUUGUUAAAGAAAUUUACCUCUAAUUUCAGUCUCACUAAUGUAAAAUACUGGGACUUAAGUAUACAAUUCAGUCACUAACUGUACAGUUUUAUGUGGGGAACAAUUCAUGCAGGCUACUGGAAAAUUAAAUCUUAUUACCAACUCCUUGUGAUAUCUUUGCCAUCACCAUCACAUGAGCAAGAUGAUGUUUUGCAGCAUUCCCCAUUGCUGAUACAAAUGGAGAGGGCAGAGAAGACUUUAUACAACCAGUUUUUCCAUUGCAGAGUCUUAAGAAAGAUUAUUAGAUGACUUACCUAUAUGACUAAUGCCAUCAGGAACUCAGAGGUAUGAAUAGGGGGUUGUCCAUCCCUCUUCCAUACUGAGGUGGAGAUGCUCAUGCAAUACUUUUAAGGAUGCAUGGUCCAGCCUUCAGUUAUUCUUCACUGCUCUUGGUGAAGGUAUGUGGGAGAAAAACUAAUUAUAAUACGUUUCCCAGCCUCUGAUGGAGAAGGAACACCAUUCUGAUACCAGAACAUGGUUAAUAAGGAAAAGAGAAAAAUCCCCAACCAAUCUUAAUUGAACCAAGUCUGAAACCAAUGGAAAAAAAAAAUGGGUAGUGUAUAUUUUGCAGGUUUAAGACAACUCAGGACAAUAAAAACAAUGGACUUUACAUGUGUAUAUAUAUAGCUCUCUUAGGCACCAUAAUCAGUAUGAGCCAACAAUAUUUAAACUUGAUUCAGGCCACAUUCAGACAUUUGCUCUUAUAUACAAAUAUUUAAAUUAAAUACAAUCUGAAAUGUGUUCUGUUACAUACAAAAAAGGAAAAACUAUACAACGCAGAGCAGUGUGUGUGUUUUAAAUAAUUACAUUUACAUGUAAGCUAAAUGGAACCAGCAAUGGUGCUCAAGUUUUUAUCAUCCCUUCCAGAAAAUCUUUUUCUACCAUCUCUUCUAUUUUUUGCCUGGCUUUGCUGGAACAUGGUUUGUGGUUCUCCAGUUUCAUGUCCUUAUUAGGGAAGGCAUUUGAGUAGAGGAUAGGACUCCCUGAGUGUCCUCCACAUCGGCUUGUGACUUUGCUGUUGAAGACUUGACUGAGCACAUUGAAGAACGGCAGGAGCUGCUCCAUACUGCGCACGGUGCAGAUGGUGAGCAGCAAGUGCCCUGGCUCCCAACCCAAUGUUCUCCCUGAGUUGUCUUCCUCUGGAUUUUUCUGCAGAAAACAAAAAGUGAACUGGUAUUAAUACAACAGACAAUGUGGUAUGUUAGAAAAAUUAAAAAUAUAUAAACUUUGGCAAUUGGUCAAGAAAUGAAUACAAAUGACAUUAAGUUUCUAACUCCUGACCUGAUCAAAACCCUUGGUGCUUCUGAGACCUUUUACUGCCAUUUAUUAGUUUUACAUGGAGCAGUCUAACAUUGUAGUAAUAGUUCCCAACUAGAAUGCGCAGAUAAGCUUAGUUAACAGAAAUAGCUUUGAACAGGAAUAGAGUCAAACAUAAAAGUUUUAUGUUGUGCUUUGUAUUUACUCAAAAAGCUCCCAGGUUUCUGAACCCUCACUACUGUAACCAAGGACUAGGUCACAAAAUUACUACAGAAAAAAGGAACAAAGUGCUUUAUACAUUUCAUAAUAUAUCCCCUUUUAUUAUAAUUAGUUAAUUCCCUUUUAUCUAAAUGGCCUAAAUUUGCCAUGAUGGUAGCAGUGUCCAAAGUGAAUAAUUACUGUCAGUACUGCAUCACAGAGAAAGGAAGGGAUCCCUCAGGAGACACUGCUGUCUCCUUCUGGGUUGUGCUAAACAACAUAGGGAGGAAAGCUGGACCUGGAGUCAAAGGAAUUGAGUUAGUGUGCUGGCUCUGCCAUACUUACGGCACCCUUGGGCAGGAUAUACAAAGGUUCCUCACUUAUAAAAUGGGACAGUCUAAAACUACCUUUUAGUAGAGAAGUCAAAUGAGAAGGUAUGUGAAAACUCUGUCAACUAAAUAUAAAGACUAAUAAUUUGGGUAUUAAGAGGCUAGUUUGAGAAGCCACCUGAAUUACACAAACACAGCUACAGACAUCAUUCUGUCUAGAGAAAGAUAAGAGAGAACAGGUUGGUUGAACUUGGGCAGAAUCACAGAUACAAUUCCACACUAAAGAAUGAAAAUAAGCAAUGAACUAGACAGAAGGAAGAAAUCAUGAAGACUUAGGAAGCAGAAUUACAAUCUGUCAUAUUAACAAAUGGAGUUUGCCUUCUAAGAUCAGAUGUUGCUCAGAAACUUUCAUUGUUUACCUAAUAAUUUAAUAUCACUAGUUUCCUAGUGGGUCAAGCAGAUGCAAAAUCCAGCUUAUUUUCUUCUAUGUGCUCUCAAGCUUAUUGCUUAUUUUAAAGUAAAAUCCUGAAAAAGGAAAAUAUUAGGUUGGUGCAAACGUAAUUGCGGUUUUUGCAUUGUUGAAAUUUGCCGUUUUAUAUUGGAGUACAUUCUUAAAUAAAUGUGGUUAUGUUAUACAUCAUUUUAAGCAUAUUUCUCACUUUUUUUUUGCUAAUGACUUAUUGCUGUUUAUAUUUAUUUUAGACUAUGGAAAUGAUGUUAGACAAAAAUCAAAUUUAGCGAUUUUCUGAGUUCAAAAUAGGUUAUAAAGCAGCAGAGACAACACACAACAUCAACAAUGCAUUUGGCCCAGGAACUGCUAAUGAACAUACAGUGCCGUGAUGGCUCAAGAAGUUUUGCAAAGGAGACUAGAGCCUUGAAGAUGAGGAGUGCAGUGGCCAGUCAUCGGAAAUUGAUAAUGACCAAUUGAGAACAUCAUCGAAGCUGAUCCUCUUACAACUAUAAGAGAGCUGCCCAAGAACUCAAUGUUGACCAUUUUAUGGUCGUUCGGCAUUUGAAGCAAAUUGAAAAGGUGAAAAAGCUCAAUAAAUGGGUGCCUCAUGAGCUGAGUGAAAAAUAAAAAAAUUCGUUGUUUUGAAGUGUCAUUUUCUCUAUUCUAUGCAACAAUAAUGAAUCAUUUCUCUAUCGGAUUGUGAUGUGUGCCAAAAGGUGGAUUUUAUACGACAACUGGCGAUGACCAGCUCAGUGGCUGGACUGAAAGAAGCUCCAAAGCACUUCCCAAAGCCAAACUUGCUCCAAAAAAUGGUCAUGGUCAUUGUUUGGUGGUUUGCUGCCAGUCUGAUCCACUACAGCUUUCUGAAUCCAGGUGAAACCAUUACAUCUGAUAAGUAUGCUCAGCAAAUCAAUGAGAUGCACCAAAAACUGCAAUGCCUGCAGCCGGCAUUGGCCACCAGAAAGGGCCCAAUUCUUUUCACGACAACACUGGGCCGCACGUUGCACAACCAACGCUUCGAAAAUUGAACUAAUUGGGCUAUGAAGUUUUGCCUCAUCUGCCAUAUUCACCUGACCUCUUGCCAACAAACUACCACUUCUUUAGGCAUCUCAGCAACGUUUUGCAGGGAAAUUGCUUCCACAACUAGCAGGACACAGAAAAUGCUUUCCAAGAGUUCGUCAAAUUUGGAAGCAUGGAUUUUUAUGCUACAGGAGUAAACAAACUUAUUUCUCAUUGGCAAAAAUGUGUUGAUUGUAAUGGUUCCUAUUUUAAUUAAUAAAGAUUUGUGUGAACCUAGUUAUAAUGACUUAAAAUUCAUGGUCCCAAACAGCAAUUACUUUUGCACCAAACUAAAAAUAUAAGUUAAAAUGGAAGAGUCUAGGAGCAAACCAAGAAAAGAUCACCUACUUCAUCAUCUCUGGUCAAAAACAAACCAAAAAACUUAACAGCUAUCACUUAAGUUUGCUUCCUAGCAAUUAUUUAGCUUCCAGUCUAGAUUACAGGAUAUAUAAAACUUUCUUUCUUUCUUUCUUAACUAUGACACUGGCACCAAUGAGAGUCCUGUGACUGACUUUCACAUUUCCACCAUUACUCAAUUACUGGUACCAUACCACCUCUAAUCCCCUAAAUCAAACUGCAAUUCAACAAUAAAGGGCGUACAGAGAUGACUUUGUCCUGAAGGAAAAUGAAUAUCCUUGUACCCUCUAUAUAGCUAACUUCCAAAUGUAAGAGAACUAUGGGGUAACCUUUUGUUUCUAUUCCUAUCAAGAUGAGCCUUUAAGAGAGGGACUUUUAUUAAGCUCUUGACCAAGAAGAAUACACUUGAUUCAGAGUUUCUGAUGCUCUUAAUCAGAACUAUAUGUAUUGUCUCAAUAUUAAAUAAAGUCAAAUGUUUCCAUACAAAUGAUUUCUCCUUUGACUUCACCAGUCCACACUUGAAAAAAGACUUCCUUCCUGUUUACCUCCCUUGUACUUGUUGACAUUCAGACCUGGGUUUGUGUCUCAAUAUUUGGCAACUUUUGCUGCCAUAUCAUAAGCAUGAAACAGCCACCCUCACCUGAUGCUUGGCCAUCUCCAAUCCCUCCAAAAUCACUGUCUUAAAGUCCUCCUCCUUGUCCUGUGGAAGGAAAGAGGAGAACUCACAGCCUUUGUUCCAGUGAAAAGUAUGCUUGGCCAUGAAGACCUUGUUUAAGGUGAUUUGGAUGGGAAGAUGCCUUUCAAUCAAAAUAGUUUUCUUAUUCUGUGGGACAAAUUUUGGGCAAAAGACUGUCAUAUUUAUUAUUUAGAUAAAGGAGGGGGGUCUUAUAAAAAUUCUCAUUACUAAUGAAAGGCAGGCAUAACAGAAAAGGACAUGUGCCUGGGGUCAUAUUUGCUUCUGGAUUUGUCAUGAUUACUUGCCCAAACUCUGAGAUAUCAAAUUGAAAGUACCAAAGUCCUACCCUGAACUCAGGACCCAGCAUACAUCCUCAUCUCUGUCCUUUUAUUAAGCCCCUACAGAAGCAACUAGGAAUUUAAGUCAAGUUUUCUCAUGUAAAUUCCUUCCAGCAAAAUCUCUUUAAUCACUUUCUUCAUUCCAUUUUUAUAGUUAUGGAAUUCAGUUUAAGAGCUGCUGCCUGAUUAGGAGGACUCCAGAAGACUGGAAAAUUUCUGAGCACUCAAAGCACACACUGCAUACUAGAUCUCACCAGACAACCUAGAUCACUCCCAAAUUGUACAAUUUGAUUUUGAAAUUUGUUGAAUGUAAAAGAAAAUUUGACAAAAGGUUAAUAACAAAGGCCCAAUGGUGAGCAUACCAGUUUCAUUGCUGGUAGGUUCUUGGGCAAAGAUCUGUAAUAAAUUAGCAUGAUGCAUACUGAAAGAUAAAAAGUAUAUAAGACAAUAUUUUACAAAUUUUAUUUUCCUACACUUUUUAAUGGUAUAUGUUUUAAGUAAAUUCCCACUUUUCCCCUUAAAUAAUUUCUCUAAGAAGAUGCUUUAUAUUAAAGAGUCAUAAAGCCAGUUUAACUCUGAGCACUGUUUUAAAAACUGCAGGUUGUGGGGGUCUUGCAAUCUGUACUCAGCAUCAUCACUGUGAACUACAAAAAGGAAAAUAUCUCAUGUUAAGGGCAAGAACUGUUUUGUGAAACUUUAGAUUCGGUUAUAUAGCUGUACUGGAUCAGGAUAAGGAACACAUUUCUGAAUGUAGGUUAUAAUCAGAAAGUGAAAAAUACUUAGAAAAUGAAUUUUAGCAUAUAUAUUUUAUUUCAUAUAGAUAAACAGAAUGAAUGCUAAUGAUUAUUUCCUUUAUUCUGAUCGAGGUCUAGCUCAUUCAAUUUCAAUGAAAUCUGACUCAUAUUUUACAAAUUUAAAAUGUAUAAUCUUCUUACCCAUUGAUUAGUUCUGUUGAAACAACUCUGACAGGUUCUAAAAAUCCCUUUUGUACUGUAUUUUUUUCAAUCAACUCAUACUUUUGUUUGUCAUCAUGGCAUUAAGAUGAACAUUAUAUUACAUUCUCAAGUUUUUGACACGAAGAGUGUUCAGGACUACAGUCUUAAAUACUCACAUGUAUGGUUCCAAGGUUUUUAUUUUCUUUUUUGAGGGGAAAACAUUUUAAGGUAGAUGUUAUUAAUGUACAAAAGCCUUCCUUUUUCUUCUUUAAAAAAAUGAAUAACCGCAUAUUCCUUUAAAAUACAUACGAUAUGUUUUCUAAUGUCUGGAAAUAUGAGGCUUAUGGACAUUAACUCUCAAAACUGGGGACUUGUUUUCAAAAUAGCUCAACUUGAUAACGUUCUCAGUUUCCCAGGAAGUAUUUAAUAAAUACCUCACUAAUGCAACAUGUAGUGAUGUAAAACAAAACAAUCACAAAAGAAUGCGAUACCUUUGCUCUUUUCCGAAGAAGUUUUGCUAGUCGUACCACGUAAGGUUUAAAUUCUCGUUGAUGUAUACCCUGCCUUCUGACUUCCAAACCUGAAUCAUCUGAGGCUUCUGGAAUAAAGGCCCAUCGGUACCUAUGUAUAGAAUAAUGACAUCAGCAUCAGUAAGACAGACUUUGUGCCAUCUAAGAUUAGGCCACAUAAUGUAGUAGAAAGAUCAUGACCCCACUGCUUAUAAAAAUUCAAAUGCCAGAUGUGCCACUCGUAGCCUUGUCACUUUGGGUAUGUUUCUUAACCUCUCUGAGCCUUCAUCAGUAAAUAAAGAUACUAUUAACUACCUCAUAAGGUUGUAAGGAAUAAAUAUGAAAACUUGUAAAGUACUCAUCAUUACUUUUUUCAUGAGUCCAAAGCAAGUACUCAACAAAUGUUUCUUUUCUCAUUAGCGAACAGGCAUAAGGUUCUUAAAAGGAAGAUGUUUUCAUUUAGCUUAUCUCUUUGUACUGCAACAUAACAGUCUGACAAAGACUUGAUUUUUCAACAUAUAACUGGCCAAAUGUUCCCUAGUUGCAUAGUAAAGGAGUAAAAAAUUGAACGAAUUUAAGAAAACUAAGGGCUUUUUUUGCACUUCUCUUGUAUUUUUGUUUGUAAUUUUGUCUUUCAUAAGUAAGUAAAAGUAAUAUCCGACCAUGGGAAAAAUUCAAACAGUAUAAAUGGGCAUACCAAAGAAAGGCAGUCUCCCCUCCCCGCAUAGGAUUCAUCAAUGUUGUCAGCUUCGUAAGUCCGUCCAGAGAGUUUAUGCCCAAAAGAGUAUAUAUUCACACAACCAACCCUCUCUUUUAAAAAAACAUGAUUGCUGCCUGUUUUAAUUAUACAUGUAGGAUAUAUAUUUUUGAUAUAAUUUAUUUGAUAUAAAUUACAUAUCUUGGAGACAAUUCUGCAUCAUAUAAAACUUCAUUCUUUUUAACAGCAACAUAGUAGUACACCACAGCCAAUGUCCUAGAUUGUCCAACUUCUUGCACUUACAAAGUACCACAGUGGAUACUCUUAAGUAAUGCUUAUUUAUUUUUGUGCACAUCUGAGAAUAUAGAGACAGGAUAAAUCCUUGGAUGUAGCAGAAUUAUAGGCUUAAAGAUAUAUAUUUUAAAUUUUGGUAAAUAUAACCUCUGAACAAUUGGACAAUAUCAGUGUAUACUUCCAACAAGAAUAAGAAUGCUUCUGUUACUAAAAGUAAAAGGAAAGCAACUUUCAGAUCUUUACCAUUCUGAUGGUUAUCUAUAAUUUUAAUCGGAAACUCAGGAGAACAACUGAGCAGUUUUUCCUAUGUUUAGAAACCAUCCUAUAAAUUAUUAACUGUCUUGCUCAUUGGCUCAUUUUUCUACCAGGUUAUUUUUAUACAUUAUGCAUUUUAGACUUUUGUCAUAUACAUCGAAAAUAUCUUUUACCAAUUCAUUGCUAUCUUUCGAACUUUAUAGUACCUUUUAGUUACAUGGAUACUUUUAAAUUUAUAUACAGUAAACUUAUCAAGUAUUUUGAACUUUCCAAAUAUGGAUCAUGCUAAGAUAUUACUCUUUCAAGAUAAUUAAAAUCUUUACACUUUCUACUUUAUAGAUUUUUAUUUUUAGAAAGAUGUAAGUUUUUAAAAAACUAAUUAAUAUAACGGCAUGUUUCCUUCCCUUUUGUAGUAACUAACAUCUUGACAAAGAGGAUAAACUGAUUUUGGUUCUUGUCAUGGAAGAUAAAAAGUCAGUAUCAUGAGCAUACUAUUUCAUGUCCCUCCAAAAGCACCACAGAAUAGUUAUCACUUUUGUGAAGGGGAGUAGCUGAUUUCAUCAGACUGUGAGGUGCAUCAUGCUGAAUACAAAUAAGAGGGCAACUUACUGAUUAACACAAGAGGCAUCCAUCUGAAAGAAACUGGGAUCCAUAAAGAGGUCAAAAGCUUCUUUUUUCCAAGCUCUCCGUGUGUACUGAUACCCACUAAGACUGCUGAGCAGCUGGACACAAGCUCGAUAACUAGGGGCAUUAUGUGCACUACAAGGAAGAAAAACCACCUUAACCUACGUGUCCUAACUUUAAUCAUCCUAUCAAGUUAUACAUAAAUGUUCACAUUUACCUAAGACAGUGACAUGAAGAUAUGAAAUAGAAAGCACCAUAAGAAAAAUAAUAUAUGAAUUUUUUUAAACAAUUAUAAUUCAAGGUAAAAAUGCCAUUUUAUGAUAAUUCUAGAAAUGGCAAUAAGGGAACAGAACUUGUUUCUAACAGGCUAUGAAUUAAUUUUAAAAACUAUUUAAAUAAUGAUAGUACCUGUGAUUUCUGAGGUAGGGCACAACAUAAUGCAUAAUAUUUACAAGUAAAGGAAUAACCCGCUCCUUUUCAUCACUAUAGAAAACCAUAUCCAAAAGAUGAGCCAAAACCUAUGAAAACAUAAAAAAUGAAGAGUAACAUAUGAGGUGAAACUGACAUCAUCCCAAGAUAAUAAACCUAAAUGUUUGACAAGAAUACCUUCAACAUCAGAUUCCAAAUUGGUUCCAUCUACCAUUAUUUUGGGAGAAGGCUUAACUUCAAGAUUUCGUCGCAGCCAUGUUGUCUGUUCCAGAGAAGAACCAGCAAUUGCACCAAUUGCAUCCACUAUUUUGUGAGUUACAUCCUAAAAAAAUAAGGAAGAACAACUAUGUAUGGUACACACAUGCACACUAGUUAUGAACUUCUGUAGUUUAUAUUUCUGAUAAUAGAUAUUUUACAAUAGACUUGUUGAUUCCCAUAGAAUGUUCAGAGUUGAAAGAAACUUCAGUUUAUUUUAUUUGACUCUCUCAUUUUCAAAUUGAGGGCACUGAGAAACAGUUUUGGCAACAGCUCUUAGACUGCCUUACCUGAAGGUCUCUUUGGUCUUUUUUAUUUUCCAAACUAGGGUUUUUCAUAAUAAACUCAUUCAGAACCCUAAAAGGGCCAAAGAGAAAACAGAAACGGGAAAUAUCAGGCUAAAAGAAACUAAUGCGAUCUAAUUUCUCACGAUGAGUUAAGCGGCUUAAUGGUCUUGAUUUCCAUUUUAAAUAUUUAAUAUAUAUACAUAUCCUAUGACUCAACUGACAUUCAUAAACAUACUCAUGAAAAGACACUGUAUAAAGAUGCUCAAAGCAUCUUUUGUAAGAGCCCCAAAGUGGAAGGAACCCAGAUGUCCAGCAAGAGCAGAAAAGAUAAAUUGUGGAAUGUGGCCAGGCGUGGUGGUGCAUGCCUGUAGUUCCAGCUACUUGGUAGGCUAAGGCAGGAGAAUUGCUUGAGGCCAAGGCUGCAGUGUGCUAUGAUCAUGCUGUGAAUAACCACUGCACUCUGGCCUGGGAAACCUGGCAAGAUCCCAUAUCAAAGAAAAAACAAAUUGCAGAAUGUUCAAAUACUAAACAACAAUGAAAAAUUACAGAUAUGUGAAUUACAUAAAUGAAUCUCAUAAACAUAUGUUGAACAAAAGAAGCCGACACAAAAUAUUUAUAUAUACUUAUAGUUCAAAAACAAGGCAAAAUCCAUCUGUGGUGUUAGAAUAGUGGUUACAUUUGGGGAGAUAAAAGAAUAGUAAUUGGGAGAGGUGUGGAGGGACACAUGGUGUUUUAUUUCUUAAUUUGGGUUUGUAAUGAUAUAGUGGUAUGUUGACUUUUUACAAACUUUGCAUUUGUAGAGUUGUGUACUAAUUAUUUGUGUAUUUUUCUAUGUGUGUUUUAUAUAUAAACAGAAAAGUUUAAAAAAUCUUAAAUUGUAAUACAGAAAUGAUUUCUUCCCAUAACACAUUAAAAAUAGUUCAUGAAGAAAAAAA